rnacentral:rRNA from 1 species
UACGUAGGUGGCAAGCGUUGUCCGGAUUUACUGGGCGUAAAGAGCGCGCAGGCGGUCGUUCAAGUCGCGUGUGAAAGCCCCCGGCUCAACUGGGGAGGGUCACGCGAUACUGAUCGACUCGAAGGCAGGAGAGGGUAGUGGAAUUCCCGGUGUAGUGGUGAAAUGCGUAGAUAUCGAGAGGAACACCGGUGGCGAAGGCGAGUCCCUGGACAAUCCCUGACACUGAGGCACGAAAGCUAGGGGAGCAAACAGG